rnacentral:rRNA from 1 species
UACGUAGGGUGCGAGCGUUGUCCGGAUUUAUUGGGCGUAAAGAGCUCGUAGGCGGUUUGUCGCGUCGGCCGUGAAAUCUCCACGCUUAACGUGGAGCGUGCGGUCGAUACGGGCAGACUUGAGUUCGGUAGGGGAGACUGGAAUUCCUGGUGUAGCGGUGAAAUGCGCAGAUAUCAGGAGGAACACCGGUGGCGAGGGCGGAUCUCUGGGCCGUAACUGACGCUGAGGAGCGAAAGCAUGGGUAGCGAACAGG